rnacentral:rRNA from 1 species
CCUACGGGAGGCAGCAGUGGGGAAUAUUGGGCAAUGGGCGCAAGCCUGACCCAGCAACGCCGCGUGAAGGAAGAAGGCUUUCGGGUUGUAAACUUCUUUUAUCAGGGACGAAGCAAGUGACGGUACCUGAUGAAUAAGCCACGGCUAACUACGUGCCGGCAGCCGCGGUAAUACGUAGGUUGCAAGCGUUAUCCGGAUUUACUGGGUGUAAAGGGCGUGUAGGCGGGAGUGCAAGUCAGACGUUAAAACUAUGGGCCCAAACCAUGGCCUGCAUUUGAACCUGGACUUCUUGAGUGCUGGAGAGGCAAUCGGAAUUCGGGGUGUAGCGGUGAAAUGCGUAGAUAUACGGAGGAACACCGGUGGCGAAGGCGGAUUGCUGGACGGUAACUGACGCUGAGGCGCGAAAGCGUGGGGAGCGAACAGGAUUAGAUACCCCUGUAGUC